rnacentral:rRNA from 1 species
CCUACGGGAGGCAGCAGUGGGGAAUUUUGGACAAUGGGGGCAACCCUGAUCCAGCCAUGCCGCGUGAGUGAAGAAGGCCUUCGGGUUGUAAAGCUCUUUCGGCCGGGAAGAAAUUCGCUCAAGCUAAUACCUUGGGUGGAUGACGGUACCGGAAGAAGAAGCACCGGCUAACUACGUGC